AAAAGCUUGUGGUUGUCAUUACUCAAGCAAAAAUCAAACCAGCUGCAGGUGAAUGGCCAGUUUCUGUUUCUAAUACGUGGAAUGGUACAAAGUUGAUAAUGGAAAGUGAUUUUCCUCAAAUAGUUGAUUUUAAGAAACGAAUGAAGGAAAUUGAUCCAGAUGAAUUAAUAUUGAGUCAGUGUGCAAGUCAAUUGACUCAGUCUUCCCAAUAUACUGAUGCUGAACGUUUUGUAUAUAAAUGUUUAGUAAAAAGUUUGUCUGAAAUCCCAUUAAUGAAGAAGGUAUAGGCUCCAGGUCCAGG